rnacentral:lncRNA from 1 species
UCAAACUGAAGCAUUAAUCCUCAGUAUCCUUUUCAAGGUCCAUAUUUUUGCGUGGUAUUGCUUAGUAUAUAUUUCCUCCAUUUUAUCUCAGGGUGCACAAAUUGUGAGAAGGGGGUGCAAGCUCACAGUGUGCCAGCCGCUGCUGAUUUAUUUAAGAAGGCAAAUGAUAUCCUUAGUUAUGUCAAUUAUUCAGCUAGAUUUCUUAUUAUAUACAUGUUACAUCUUAAAGGCCAUUCCAAUAUGCUCAUCUUGAUCUUUCUCCUUUGCCUUAGUUUCGACCUCUUGGAUGUUUGCAGCAAUGGACCAAAAGAAAGGCUUGAUUUAACAGUAAUAAGCCAGGUAGGCUUGAUUCAACAGGUAUAAGCCAGAUAACCUGAUGCAGAAUUUUGGAUACAUAUCCACAUUGUUACGGUCCUCAACCUCCAGCAUCUGUUAGUUGGCGCUUUCUUAUGAAUGUCAAUCUUAGAUAUGUUGCUAUUAGCAGAUGUUUUCUUUAACAUUGGUGUUACAUAAUAUUAAGAUUAUUUUCUGAUACUGCAAGUAGUUUCUCUAAAAGGCUUAAUGAAAAAUUAUGACUCUUAAAUUAGAGUGGGCAACUAAAGAUGAUUUUUAGUGCUAAUAUUGUUUGGAGGUAUGUUGCCAUUAUGAGUAUACUCUCCAUUUACCACUAAUUGGCAAUUAGAUUCAGCCCAUUGCAUAUAGUCUAGCAUUUGACAUGUUAUAAGAAAUAUAAUUUAUUUGUAGGUCUGGUAGUAAAUCCAGUUCCUUAUAGCAUUUUUCUAAUGAUCAUGUUGUAUUUUGAUAUUAUUGGAGAUAGAAAUAUACUGAAAAUUAUAUUGAUAAUCAAAUGGGUACAAAUUAUUUGCAUCUUUUAAAAUACAGCUUUUAAAAUGGUUACAAAUUAUAUUGGUAAAUCCAAUUCCUUUAAAAUAUCAUGCUUCUAUCAAGAUUAAGCUCUCAAAACCUCAAGGGACCAACUCACACUGCCAUUGGUAUUUUUGUUACAUUUGGAGAUAGUUGAUAUUUUUGUUAUUGUAGUUUUCAUCACAGUUUAUUGAGAAUUAUGUAUGUUUUUAAUAAGUAAUUGAAACAUAUGAAGGUUUAAUUAGUUUAUAAAUUUAAUACACAUUCUGUUGCAUGGUCACUCGCCUAAUCACCUAAGCUAUAGGUGGCCGGGAUCAAUGCCAAUUAAAAUCAUAGAAAUUUUCUUAUAUGGGCAUAUUUACUAUAGAUUAUGUGGUUUUCAUGGCUAGGCAAAAUUUGUUGUUUUCAAUUUUUUUUAAUAAUGCUAUUUAUAGGGUUUCAUGUUGUGGGCCAAAAUGGGCAUAAGCUGUAUCAUAGUGAAGUCAUCGAUUUCGCUCAAUAGAUAAGAUUAUAAAUCUCAUUAUCUUUUUUUUAAAAUUAUUAACUUUUUAUUAUGUUUCAAAAAUACAUUACUAUUUUUUAUAGCUUUUAGUUUGCGGAAAAAAUAAAUUUUAAAACUAAAGAUGAAGUUCCGGACAGGGAUGAUAUUCAGUGUUUUAUAUUUGAUAUAUGUAGUUAUUUGUUUUGCUAAUGUACCAAUUACUUUGCAUUGAAUGAUUGCAUAUUUUUAAAGAAGAGAAAUAGAACCAAAAUAAUUUUAUUUAAAAAAAUUAUAUGAUGAAAAAAUAAUUAAUUUAUUAUUAUUAUAUUUUAUUAAUUAUUUUUAAAUUAUUAUUUAUAUAGAGUCUGCUGCAUAGCACAGGUUACUUUGCUGGUUAUCAUGGCGAGAAGAUAAUAUGGUCCAGUGCGCUGUAGCAACGAUUCGCGGCACCUUGAGAAAGCGCGAUGCAGUAGGUUGGCUAUUAUGCGGUAUAUCAGCGGGUGGUGGCCCAAGGAUGGAAGAUUUGUUUCCUACUUGAUGACGAAUUCCCAGAGGCAAAGCAUUUGACCCAGUCAAAGAAGGUAGAGAAGAGAUCUUUGCUUGAUAUGGCGAUGGGCCCGAGAAUCCGGAAAGUGUGGGUGUGAGAGGAAGAAGGACGGUGAGGUUGAUUUCGGGAGUUUGAUCUUCGCUUCGGAAUCGCCGGAGCCAUGAAAACUGGCCGGGCUUAUGUUUUUGUAGCAAUGUCCAGAAUUAAACGCAAAUGUAAGUCAUUACACAAGUUUUGCAGUGCUCGCUGAGACAAUAAAAU